CAAAAACAUGUCUUUUUGAUUAUAAUUUAAAGUCUAACCUGCCCAAUGAGGAGUUAAAUGGCCGCGGUAUUUUGACCGUGCAAAGGUAGCAUAAUCAUUAGUUUUUUAAUUGAAAGCUGGUAUGAAUGGUUGGACGAGAAAAUAACUGUCUCGAUUUAAAUUAAAUUAGAAUUUUAUUUAUGAGUAAAAAAGCUCAUAUGAGUUUAAAAGACGAGAAGACCCUAUAGAAUUUAAUAUAUGUAUAUAUAUAUUAUUUUUAGGAUUAAUAAUAAGUUAUAUAUAAUUAUAUUUUGUUGGGGUGAUAGAAAAAUUAAAUUAACUUUUUUUGUAUAAAAACAUUAAUUUAUGAAAAAAUGAUCCGUUAAUUACGAUUAUAAGAUUAAAUUACCUUAGGGAUAACAGCGUAAUUUUUUUUUAGAGUUCUUAUCGAAAAAAGAGUUUGCGACCUCGAUGUUGGAUUAAAAUUAACUUUUGGUGUAGGGGCU
rnacentral:rRNA from 1 species